AGCUGCUCCAGCUUCGGCGUGGUGUCAAAGGCAAUGUGGUGGCCAGACACAAGGCUCUUCCCCUUUUCUUCAAAACUAACUUUGUACUUCAACCGUCCAUCUUCUGCAAAUAACAAAAUGUCAAUGAGUGAAACAGGUGAUCUGCUCCUCCUGGUAGGUGGAGGUGGAGAUGGAGCCAUAAGGAUCCACUACAGUCUGGGCACAGCGCACCACCGUCACCAGCAGGAAGAAACACAGGAGGAAGAGGAAGAAGAGAGCGAAGCCCAGGUCCACGUCCACCUCAAACUGUGUCGCAGGUUACAGUCAGUCUGAUGCAACAUCAUGUUUACCAGAAGGGGAGGAUUACGAGGCGGGUGACGAUGAAAACUGCAGCAAACACGAUGAAGAUGAGGUUGCAGGUUCUCCUCCAACCUGCGUA